AGCCGUCGAAGGUGGGGCUGGCGAUUGGGACGAAGUCGUAACAAGGUAGCCGUACCGGAAGGUGCGGCUGGAUCACCUCCUUU
rnacentral:ncRNA from 1 species